AAAGAGCACCCUAGAGAUGAUUUCAGCAUCUUCCAAGGUCACGAGCUCUGUGGUUGCAUCUUUGCAUUAAAAGCAUGGAGACCAAAAACAAAGCACUGAGUUGACUUAAGCCUUCUUCCAUAAACGAAGCCUCUGUUUUUGGAAAGACACCAAGAACGGAUGCACUCGAGCUGAUUUUCUGUAAUGAUCAAGACUCUGUUGGGUCAAUGUAAGUAAUAAUUCAAGUUCCUUUCUUUGUGGGGGCAGCCUGUUUAGGGUACUCAGUGUGUGAAUAUAAAAGUAUGAAAUACAGUCAGAGGAGGCCGAAUUAGGACCAAUGAUGAGAUUAUGUUAUAAACCAAAGUUCUCAAUGAAUCUGAUUUAGCACAACAGAUGCCCUUUUAAAAAGUUCUAACCUCUUAGUUCUGGGCAUAAGGGACAUAGGGUCAAUUGCCUGUAACACCCAUAGUUUUUCUUAUGUAGAGUAGUUCAUCGAAGGAUGUUCAUUAUAUUAUUUAAAUGGAUAACUAGGAGCAGUAAUAAAAUGGAGGUCCAUUCAUAAACUAAAGAUAAGAA